AAUGAACGCUGGCGGCAUGCCUAACACAUGCAAGUCGAACGAACAGACGGGGUACUGGCUCGUGGGGCGUGGGCGGCGGACGGGUGAGGCACACGUGGGUGACCUACCUAUGAGAAUGGGAUGACUACAGCGGACCGGAUCUAGCACCCGACAAGAUGUCGAACCGGGUGGUUCGAUAGUGAAAGAGGGCUUUGCGAUGACUAAUAGGUGGACCUGCGUCGUAUUAGCUAGUUGGUAAGGUAACGGCUUACCAAGGCGACGAUCCGUAGCCGACCUGAGAGGAUGAUCAGCCACACUGGAACUGAGACACGGCCCAGACUCCUACGGGAGGCAGCAGUGGGGAAUCUUCCGCAAUGGGGGAAAGCCUGAUGGAGCAAUGCCGCGUGAGGGAUGAAGGUCUUCGGAUCGUAAACCGCUGUUAUUCGGGAAGAACUACCGUGUGAUUAACCGUGCACGUCUUGACGGUACCGGAAGAAUAAGCACCGGCUAACUACGUG
rnacentral:rRNA from 1 species